GGUGACUGCUUAUUUUUAGAUCAGGAGUUCACAGUGCAGCUUUCACCAGAAGACCCCAGCCUGGCCAGGCCUGCGCACUCAAGAGUCUUACCUGAUGGGGCUUCUGCAACCAGAAGCAGCUGACCAUCGUUACAAAACUGGAGUCCCUACUAAAGCCACAUCUAAUUUGAGACCCAGACUAAAACUAUGGCUUAUAUAACCUAAGCCAUUCAUAGCGAUCAUAAAUAGGGCACACACAUGCUUCUAAAACAAAAUGUUAAAAAAGACCUUACUGCUCAUAUUUGAAAUGGAAAGCUGAAUACGAAGAAGUUCUAAUGCAAUCAUUUUGACAACAAAAAUCAAUUGAUUUUGACUUACUUUCACUGGUAAAUCCUCAGAAAGUAUAGACUCAAAUUAGGACUCUCAGAGUUGAAUUGAUAUGAUUUCAGCCACUUCAUCCUGACAGACACACACGGCAUAGACCGAGUGAGUGUCCGCCAGCAGGAGGUGCUGCGGGGAGUGGCAGGAGCCAUGUUGGUACUCCUGCGUGUGUGCUCAGGACAGUCAGUCUGGGCCAUCACUCAGAGGCCCUAGCGGACAGGAAAAGUUAGCCUCUGAGUAGGACUUAUUUUCAUACUUCCUUUGGGUAGGGGGCCUGUUUCCUUCCCUGCGUGGUGGUUGUGGUGGACCUUUGGAAGGGAAGAAGUGCUUGAUUUGCCACCUCAAGCCCUCCAUUCCUGAGUCCUUUCAUCUACACGUUGGUACACAAUUGCAGGAAUCAUGCGUCUAUCACGGAGCUGGAGUUUUCAGACAAAACGUAGCUCAAUGUAACGCAACUGUGACGGACACAAACAAUUGUGAUGGCCUUCAAAGCUUCUACUGGGCCAUUAUAUUGAAAUCUUAUAUGUUAAUUUCUAUGAUGCACACUAAACAGCAGUUUAUGUGAUGUGAACACUUAAACAAUACCUAGACAUCAUCCCUAACAAUUAGAUUAGGAUGCAUGUUCCCAGGCAAUUUUCCCAAUGUGUGAAUAUUCAGAUGAGAUGAAACCCUGCCAAGUGAUUUGAUCAGUGACCAGUUGGAGACACACCAGAGGCCAGACUAAUGCCCAUGGCCUCCAAACAAGUGCCAGGAAGCACGAUGGUGCUUUUGGAACUCUGCAAAGCCCAGCUGUGACUGUGCACUCUGCUCUCUCUCGUCGAGGGACUCACCUCGACCUACCAGUGAUCCUAAGGCCCUUC
rnacentral:lncRNA from 1 species